rnacentral:tRNA from 1 species
GCCCAGGUGGCGGAAUUGGUAGACGCGCUGGUUUCAGGUACCAGUGGCCUAACGGCUGUGGAGGUUCGAGUCCUCUCCUGGGCACCA